AUUAAAAACCAAUGCCCUCUGGGCUCUCUGGUGAUUCAUGAUAACUGCUCGAAUCGCAUGGCCUUGCGCCGGCGAUGGCUCAUUCAAAUUUCUUCCCUAUCAACUUUCGAUGUUUGGGUAGUGGCCAAACAUGGUUGCAACGGGUAACGGAGGGUUAGGGCUCGACCCCGGAGAAGGAGCCUGAGAAACGGCUACUACAUCCAAGGAAGGCAGCAGGCGCGCAAAUUACCCAAUCCCGAUACGGGGAGGUAGUGACAAUAAAUACUGAUACAGGGCUCUUUUGGGUCUUGUAAUUGGAAUGAGUACAAUUUAAAUCCCUUAACGAGGAACAAUUGGAGGGCAAGUCUGGUGCCAGCAGCCGCGGUAAUUCCAGCUCCAAUAGCGUAUAUUAAAGUUGUUGUGGUUAAAAAGCUCGUAGUUGAACCUUGGGCCUGGCUGGCCGGUCCGCCUCACCGCGUGCACUGGUCCGGCCGGGCCUUUCCCUCUGUGGAACCCCAUGCCCUUCACUGGGUGUGGC
rnacentral:rRNA from 1 species